UAACUGAUGUUCUAAUGACAAAUUGAAGUCAAAAUGGUUCCUUUUCAAUGCCAUUGUCAUCACAAUGAAUCAGGGUAUCAAGCUCAGGCAUGCCAUGACAAUAGCAGCUCAAGAGCUCGGAAACCGUACCAAACUUCUUCAGCGCUGAAACUGAACCCAUCGAAGGGUCGUACGACACCC